rnacentral:rRNA from 1 species
CAGUCGAGGGGCAGCAUGGUCUUAGCUUGCUAAGGCCGAUGGCGACCGGCGCACGGGUGAGUAACACGUAUCCAACCUGCCGUCUACUCUUGGACAGCCUUCUGAAAGGAAGAUUAAUACAAGAUGGCAUCAUGAGUCCGCAUGUUCACAUGAUUAAAGGUAUUCCGGUAGACGAUGGGGAUGCGUUCCAUUAGAUAGUAGGCGGGGUAACGGCCCACCUAGUCUUCGAUGGAUAGGGGUUCUGAGAGGAAGGUCCCCCACAUUGGAACUGAGACACGGUCCAAACUCCUACGGGAGGCAGCAGUGAGGAAUAUUGGUCAAUGGGCGAGAGCCUGAACCAGCCAAGUAGCGUGAAGGAUGACUGCCCUAUGGGUUGUAAACUUCUUUUAUAAAGGAAUAAAGUCGGGUAUGGAUACCCGUUUGCAUGUACUUUAUGAAUAAGGAUCGGCUAACUCCGUGCCAGCAGCCGCGGUAAUACGGAGGAUCCGAGCGUUAUCCGGAUUUAUUGGGUUUAAAGGGAGCGUAGAUGGAUGUUUAAGUCAGUUGUGAAAGUUUGCGGCUCAACCGUAAAAUUGCAGUUGAUACUGGAUAUCUUGAGUGCAGUUGAGGCAGGCGGAAUUCGUGGUGUAGCGGUGAAAUGCUUAGAUAUCACGAGGAACUCCGAUUGCGAAGGCAGCCUGCUAAGCUGCAACUGACAUUGAGGCUCGAAAGUGUGGGUAUCAAACAGGAUUAGAUACCCUGGUAGUCCACACGGUAAACGAUGAAUACUCGCUGUUUGCGAUAUACAGCAAGCGGCCCAGCGAAAGCGUUAAGUAUUCCACCUGGGGAGUACGCCGGCAACGGUGAAACUC